GACGAACGCUGGCGGCGUGCUUAACACAUGCAAGUCGAACGGAAAGGCCUUUUCGGCGGUACUCGAGUGGCGAACGGGUGAGUAACACGUGGGUGAUCUGCCCUGCACUCUGGGAUAAGCCUGGGAAACUGGGCCUAAUACCGGAUAGGACCGCACUUUAGUGUGUGUGGUGGAAAGUUUUUUCGGUGUAGGAUGAGCCCGCGGCCUAUCAGCUUGUUGGUGGGGUAAUGGCCUACCAAGGCGGCGACGGGUAGCCGGACUGAGAGGUUGGUCGGCCACAUUGGGACUGAGAUACGGCCCAGACUCCUACGGGAGGCAGCAGUGGGGAAUAUUGCACAAGGGGCGCAAGCCUGAUGCAGCGACGCCGCGUGGGGGAUGACGGCCUUCGGGUUGUAAACUCCUUUCGCCAGGGACGAAGCGUUUUGUGACGGUACCUGGAGAAGAAGCACCGGCUAACUACGUG
rnacentral:rRNA from 1 species